UAGGUUCAUAUUUGUUCACUAGUUUGAAAUUGAUAUGAAGCAAAUCAUGAAUAGUGGUUCUUGCUACAGGAGUCAGGGUCAGAAGUUUUGUUUUUACAAAGGGUCUACCAGCAUUGCAUAGUAGCAGAUAUAAAAUCCAUCAACAAAGCCACUCCAUUUCUGAGUUUGGCCAUAGUACGAGGGAUAAUAUUGGUGAAAGUGAAGGUGAAACUGGUGGAGUGGUGGACAUGUAUUGCUCCUCUAAACAAAUCUGCAAAUAUAAGAUCACCAACAAAUUGAUUGAUUGAAUCAUUUUUUUCACUAAUCUAGUUUUUUUAUACAUAUUAUGUUAUGAUUGUUCCUUGUUUUAUAGAAGUUGUA